rnacentral:sRNA from 1 species
GGAUAAAGACCGGCCCAAUGGCCAGUAAUCAGCUCAACAAACUGGCCCGCAUCGAUACGGCUGGGCAAUUGCAAUACUUCGGCAUGCUACUUCUGCCUUCUGCUGCUUCACUUGACCCGACCCACCACAGCUUGUUCUGCUAGUAUUAGUGCCAAUUCAAUUUCUUUGUAAUUUAUUUAGUAACCAUUUGUUUUCGUCUCACAUAGCAUGUUGUGGGUGGAGUUGACUGUCAGAUCGCAUUCAGCAUUGUUCCAUUGGCCUAAAUUUGAGUUGCAGGCAAUCCAAGUGCGUUCGAUAACUCCCAAUUUUUCUGACCACCCUCUGGAUUAUUGAGCUGGCCAAAGCACAUAUCAUUAAUCAGUUAAGCGUGCAAUUGAGGUGAACCAAAUUUGCAUCAUUCAAUGGCAAAGUCUUCAUUGAGAAGUGAAGAGCGAAGAUCCAUUAGAGAUAGAUGAUAUAUAGAUGUACAUAAUCACAUACAGCUCCUCACCUGCCCACACCUACCCCGCACUCCCUCACCUGGCCAAAAAAAAAAAAUAAACCUAGUUUAUUGUUCUGUCACGCGCUCGGACAGCGGACAGCGGACAGCGGA